UGCCCAGUCCGCGGACUGGGCAAUUACGCCAACGGGGUGUAACAUAAGCACCAAAAUGUUUUGAACGAACUUACACGGUAUAUGUUUUCUAUCCUGGUCUCUAUGUUCAUGUGCUGACUUUCUUUCUCCCCUCCAAACUUAAAAAAAAACGUAAAUUGCUAUGUGGAAUUUACUAAAACAAUAACGUUCCAUGAGACAAAUUCGUAAUUUUAAGUUCAAAAAAUUAUGUUGGAUUUCGAAAUGUCGGCACUGAGUGGUAUGCAACACGUUUUUUCUGAUGCUGGACCCCAAGGAUGCUAAUUCCAUUUAGGGCAGAGCUGGUGGAAGCGGAUGCAUUAAAUACCAACCCUGAGAAAAGCGUACUAUUUAAGAGCUGCAACUGACUCAAAUUCCCAUAUGUUUGAAGAAGAAAGUGGCUGCAGUUAUUUUUUCACUCUUAUACCUCCCUCCGUCGCAUGUUCCAGAAGCAUACACUGUAAUUUUUUCCAUUGCUCCGGAUUUUCCUGAAGCAGGAAGUUUCGCGCAUUACGUCCUACGUAACUACAUAGAAUCAAAAACUUUUCCACCAUCUUUAUGGACAUUUGCGUUCAAGGAUUACACCUCGACCAAAGGCACUGCGAGCAACAUUAGCAAAUUGCAAGGCGAAUUUUACUAUCACCACUCACAUGCUCCCACUGCUGUGGAACAAAUUUUUGAGGCUCAAUCCUUUAAAUCACUGAAAAUUAAAUCGGUUCAGCAACGUGAAAUUUUCAAACCUCGAAAGCCACAAAGAGAGUUAGCGGGAAGUAUUCAAGCCAACAUUAAUCUGUACCUUGAGGGCAAAAUGAAUAUUCUGGAAUUUUUAGAAGCUAUCCCGGGACCUACAACCCCCUCCGCGGCAGGAAACUGAAGAUCCUGGUAUUGCAUUAGACGAAGAUGAAAAUGAAGAUUCUGAUUAAUUGAAUGUUGACUUGCCAUCAGACUGGCAUGGCAGCGGAAGUAAGGACUCCCCUUUUUCCUUAAUAAUUUUUUACUCUAUGGCACAAAUUAGACAUUGUUGCCAAGUAGUGCUUCAUUAAAUAAACUUUUUCUCGGAAGUGUGCGGAAAAGUCCUUUGAAAAAAGGGUGCGGAAUUGGCCAACUUUUCCAGAGAGUGCGGACACGUCCUACAGCCGAGUAAACUAAGAGCGAUCAACACCGCGCAGUCACCCUCGCGGGUCAACAAAAGUAUAGGUUAAAUGUCAUGUGGGAAUGCGAGUUCAAUUCUUUAAAGGCGCGCCGACCGGAAAUCCGCAAUUUUUGCUGACUAAAUGAUACAAUUUAAUGUAAGAGAUCUUGCAUGUGUUACAAUAUUCCUGAUUCUCAUCGUCGUCGCAGGUGAUGAAGCGAUCGAGGAGGCGUCUUUUGAGCUUUAUACAUCUUUCCUAUGUACUUGGGAGAUUUCUCAGGAUUCUCUACCUUCGUAUAAAACUCAUCAGUAUUAUCUCGAGCGCCCCCGGCAAUCACCCGAAUGUAGUCAUCGGCACCACGAGUACCCCGGUCGUCUCUAGUACACUGAAAAAAAGUUCUGUCGUCACAAACCAGAAUUCUGGUUGUAUUUCGGAACCAGAUUU
rnacentral:lncRNA from 1 species